rnacentral:rRNA from 1 species
CCAUAUUCCUACGGGAAGCAGCAGUGAGGAAUUUUUCACAAUGGACGAAAGUCUGAUGGAGCAAUACCACGUGAACGAUGAAGGUCUUCUGAUUGUAAAGUUCUUUUAUUUAGGAAAAAAAGCGUGCUAGGAAAUGAGCGCGCCUUGAUGGUACUAAUUGAAUAAGUGACAGCUAACUAUGUGCCAGCAGCUGCGGUAAAACAUAGGUCACGAGCAUUAUCCGGAUUUAUUGGGCGUAAAGGAAGCGUAGGCGGGGAGGUUGAUCCAUUGUUAAAAGCAUUUGCUUAACAAAUGUGUGCAUUGGAGAUCGCCUCCCUAGAGUUAAUCAGGGGGUACUGGAAUUCAAUGUGUAGCGGUGGAAUGCGUAGAUAUAUUGAGGAACACCAGAGGCUAAGGCGAGUACCUGGGAUAUAACUG